AUUGAACGCUGGCGGCAUGCCUUACACAUGCAAGUCGAACGGCAGCACGGGAGCAAUCCUGGUGGCGAGUGGCGAACGGGUGAGUAAAGUAUCGGAACGUGCCCAGUCGUGGGGGAUAACGUAGCGAAAGUUACGCUGAUACCGCAUACGAUCUAUGGAUGAAAGCGGGGGAUCGCAAGACCUCGAGCGCUUGGAGCGGCUGAUUUCGGAUUAGGUAGUUGGUGGGGUAAAGGCUCACCAAGUCGACGAUCUGUAGGUGGUCUGAGAGGAAGACCAGCCACACUGGGACUUAGACACGGCCCAGACUCCUACGGGAGGCAGCAGUGGGGAAUUUUGGACAAUGGGCGAAAGCCUGAUCCAGCCAUGCCGCGUGCAGGAUGAAGGCCUUCGGGUUGUAAACUGCUUUUGUACGGAACGAAAAGGUUUGGCCUAAUAAGCUGAGCUCAUGACGGUACCGUAAGAAUAAGCACCGGCUAACUACGUGCCAGCCGCCGCCGUAA
rnacentral:rRNA from 1 species